GGACCUAGGGCAUAAUACUUACAAACUCCCACUUGCACUAGAUCUAAUCACUUAUGUAUCCAAUAUCAUAAGUCUACAUGACGAUCAUGUUUAUGCUACGACAACUCUUUGUCAGUGGAUCUACAAUAUUGUUAAAUGUGGAAAUUUGUUCUUCUCUUUACGUCACUUCUAUGUAUUAUCUCUCUGAUGAGAUUAUACC
rnacentral:lncRNA from 1 species